GUGAGGACAAACAAAUGUCCUUGUAUUCCCAAAUGUCCCCGUUAUGCUUAUGUAGAAACACACACACACACAUACACAUCUAAAAUGGUGGCGUAAAAAAAGGUUGAAUAGGAUUGGAAAACUAGACUAAUUCAAAGACCUUUUUGUGUCCCACCCCAUACCCAUACCCCUACCCACCCUUCACUCUCCACAUCCCCCCUCCCUUCCCCAAACAUGUACAUGUUGUCAUCCUCCUUCCCCCGUCCUCUCCCCUCCUCUAUCUUGUCCAAAUUGCCCCAGUGGCUGUUCGGGACUUGGGUGAUCACAGGCAGAGGACGUGGCCCUUUACCUCACCUGUCUCGCCCCAACACCCCCACCACCCCCCACUCAUGUGGCCCUUCUUCUGGGGUUGAUGGGGUCCGCCUGACAGACACAGGAAGUGAUGUAUUGCGCAAAGUUGUGGCGGAGUGGCGAGUAAGCAUCACGGCAACCCCAGCGUGCGUGUGCUGCCAAUGGGAACUUUCUCGCCGCCAAGGUAACCGACCAAGCCCCGUGCCGCCAACCUCCAUGACUCUUCCUUCCUCCUUCCUUCCUUCCUUCCUCCUCCUCCUUCCUUCGUCUGUCUCACUUUCCCCUCCCCAACCAAAGCCUGCAAAUCUGACAAAUGCCCCUUCCUUACUUCCCUUCCGCCUCUUUCCUGUCCCCACCUUUCUUCAUCCCCACCCCCUCCUUAUCCCUACCCAUUCCUCUUUCCGCCCUUCCCUCCUCCUUUUUCUCCCUCUGUCUCUCUUAUCUCUUUCUCUCUCUCUCUCUCUCUCUCUCUCUCUCUCUCUCUCUCUCUCUCUCUCUCUCUCUCUCUCUCUCUCUCUCUCUCUCUCUCUCUUUCCUUCCCUCUGUAUCUCCUGCGUGGGCUUUGGUGUGACCAAGGUUUGGGGGUGCAUUGGAAAUCGCCCGUUCUUGCACACAGCAACCUCAACCACGAGGUUUCAACCCACCACCACCACCACCACCCCUUCCACCCACCCACCCACCCUUUGGCUCGAGUGUGUUGCCUCCUCUUACCUCCCCUCGUCCUGCCCCGCCCCGCCCUGCCCUCAGCCCGGCUUCUGACUGACUGUGUGACUGAUUGCUGCCAACUGCCCGCCUGCUGCGCUGCUGAUCCAUUCGCUGGUGUGUGAGCGAGCAAGCAAGCAACCGUACAAGAGCGAACCUCUGUGUGUUGUCUCAAAAAAAAGGCUAAACGAAAAAGAAAGAAAAAAACGUGCAUACACACACACAAAAGCAAGCACGCGAGUUGGUGAGGUUUCCUUUCCGAAGGGUGUCAGAACUGCUUGGCCUUCAUGUUGGACCUUUUUUGUCUCUUCUUCCCUCCCAUCCCGGCCUAUAGACCCCUUCCAUACACACAUGCACGCACGCACACACACUCAAACUGCUCAUCCUAUGCUCUAUCCUACUCUAUCAGACCCUAUCAUCGGGAUGGCAGCCAUCUGUGAAUGGGUCAUGGGCUGAGUUGGCUCAGGUCCCCCAUAACAUUCCUGUUUUGGUUUGUGAUCUGGACCAGACCUCUUUUCAAAGUUAGCUGCCACCUGAGUUUGGGGUUCUAUUCGUUUUGUUCCGUUUUGUUUUUGUUGAUACACAUGCUAAUGAAAGAGCAACUCCUUUUCCGCCGUUUUCGUCUUAAUUCCCCAACCCAACCCCCCCUCCCCCGGCUCAAAUCCCCUUCACUCUACCUCACCCCACUCCAAGCCUUCACCACCACCACCCCAGUCUGUCCGCCGCCCCCGUCGACGCGCUCUUGGGAUUAUUUGAAACUUUCCCCUUACAGCGCCCCCUAGACUCCAACCCACCCAUUACCAACCAGCCCAGAACAUUCACCAGCAUCCACUUUAACUUUUUGCUGGUGUUAACCUGAUUGACUUGGCAGAAACUCUAGAUAAACUGCCCUCCUUUUCUCUUGCACAGCACAAACGAAAGCACACAACUGUCUUUCGAACCAUUUUGUUUUUCCUUUUCCUCUCCAUUUAUGCAUUGUCCAAUUUGUAUCUGCAAGACCUCAUUGGUCCAGAGUCUGCUACCUCCUUGUUCAAUUGUAGACCCUUCUACUCCACUUUUGUAGUACCCUUUCCCAGAUGUUUCAGCACACCACAAGGAGUAUAGACGUGUAGUAAGACAUUUGGUAGUCUUAAAGUAGCAUUUUAGAUGUGACCUCUGAAAUACCCUUCCCUUCCCCCAAAGUCUCGAUCUACUUAGUCUUGGGUUUCCAAUUCUAGCCUCAAAGCCCAGCCCCCAAUACUACACGUUUUCUCAUUCAGAGCACAUUGGCUAUGCUACCAUUGACAAGAUUGACUCUAAACAGAUGCAUUUCGUCCAUUGUGUCCUCUUAAAUCAAGUAAUUAGGUUGACUCUUUAUCAGACUAUUCAAAGGGGAAUGUGUGAGAAAUUAUAUUAACUACCAGUGAUGGGCAACCUGGAUUCAUCCGUCGCAAUCCAGUGCUACAUAUUCCAAAUUAUCCGUUUUUUUCCUGCCCAAUUCAACCAGUUUGUCAUUCAACAAGGCAAUCAAAGUACAGAGUUGGACAGAUAAAACCAUGUCAUGUGGAAUAUGUGGUACUGGAUGGCAACUAAUGAAUCCAGGUUGCUCAUCACUGUUCUCUACAUUUUAUGGAUCUAGUGACAGCACCGCUUACAAAUACUCCCUCUGUUUGCUGAUAAGUCAAGUAAAUGUUCUAUCAGUCAAUCGUGUCAAUGGAACUGCAAUCAGACAUAAAAGACGUGUAGUAUGAGGGACUUCUUUACGAUUUUACAGUGAAGGAGACUUCUUCAACAAGCAAUGCCAUACGUAGGCCCCAUUCCAAUAAACCCCAUCCCCAAACCCUUGUACUCUGCAUCUGCCUGCGUAUACUAUACUUGUGUGUCUGUGUAUCUGUGUCGUUGGUUUAUUUGUCAGUGCUUUGGAAGGACUCCUACCCUUUUGUAUGUGGUGAAAAAUACAUGCAAGCACACUAAGACACUGUACACUCUAUGCCUUUCUCCAACACCCGUUCUCCAUCAUAAACAGAUAACAAAAAAGUAAAAUAACUUUAAACACACUAACACACACGUGUGCCCUGAACAGCUUGGCAGGUGAAAGGCUGGUGAAAGGAAGGAAGGAAGGAAAUGAAAGGAGGAGUUGGAUGGAGUUAUUGUUAUGGAUGGAUGCAAAGAAAGAAGGAUAGAUAGAGGAAAGGUGAGUAACCCAAGCAUGGACCACCACCUCCGGGCCGACCCUACUCCUCCCUUCCGCACCGUCUUGGUUGUGGAGAUACCCAUCCCCUGUAUCCCCAACCCAACCCCCUUACCCCGCUACCUCCUACCCCUCUCCACACCAUCCCUGACCCCUGAAUCCUUGAAUGGUGUCCUUGAACUCCAAAUUGGUACUGCAAAGCAGGGGCUUUUGCCUCCUCCUAUUCUGGUGUGUCUUGUCGGUGUGCCUGGGUUUUUACUUGGUAGCAUCUGUCAAUGCUAACAAGUUAAGAACCUGACAGUUGACGGAUGUGGAGUCAUCUAGGUUCGGAAGGUAAAAUCUCUCCUGCCCAAUAUCAUUUCAAAAAUUAUCUGAUAGGGUUGACCCUUACCAGCACACCAAACAUCAGAAGUGUGGGUCAGCUAAUUAGCAUUUUUUUAUGCUAAAGGAAUGACAUGGUGAGAGUUUUUAUUUUCCCAAGCUAGAUUCUCCUUUUCUGUCCACCAAAAUGACAAUUGGUAAGUCACUAGAAGCACUCAUCUACGGAGUUUGAUGCAGAGGCACCUCACUAACAUACCAGGGUAGGAUUUGUGCUUUCCCUGCCUUCUUCCUCUGCAACCAGAAACUAUAUCACCAGGCUGGCGCUAAGCUUUAGCUGUUAGCUGACUAACUCUGGUAAAUGUACUGAAAAUACUUUACCUGUAACAUUGAAAGCUUCUUGCUCUAGGAGCUUUGCAAUUGUAUUUCUGUCUUUUAUAUGAAAUAUAUGCACAGCUGUGUAACACACUACAGGAAAACAUUGAUUAUUUUCAGUGCUUUCUGGAGAUGGCUAGCUAGCAUUUAACCUUAAGCUUUGUGAUAUAAAGACCGAGCUUGAUUUUUAAUAUAAUUUCUUUCUUUUUGUCUCCGUUUUACUGAGUUAGUGAUCUGUCUCUGCCCCUUCGUUCAGAAUUCCUUGUUGUCUGACUGGUGUGUGGGUGUGUGUGUAUAUGUGAGUGUAUAUGUUUGUAUGUAUGUGUCUCCAUUACUUUUCUUGCUGAGUAAGCAAAAAAAAACAUCCUGUCUUUGUAUGUCUGUUCACACCUACACAACAAGGUGGCUGCCAACCCUUUUACUACCCUCCUAUACCCCAACUUUCCCUACAACCACCACCACCACUACUUCUACUUCUGUCCACUCUCUCUCUGUGCACUGGAUGGCUAACUAGCUUAGCUGAUUAGCUUGCCCAGAGAGCAGCAGCUAAAUCUGAACUAAAAUCUGGUCCUGAUGUGUUCCCAAAUUGACCGGUUUCAUGAUGUUGGCCUCUGCUGCAGAGGAAGCUGCUGUUUUGGCUUUGGGUGUGCCCUCUUUUGUCACGUCCAAUCCAAUAAAAAAAAGUCCCUUGACCUAGCUUCUGUGGUCUCUCACUAGUAGCAAAAGCCACAUAUAUAUGUGUAUGAUGUGUGUGUCUGGUCAAGAUAUAUUAAGCGAAAAAUAAAAAACCUCCAUCUGUACCCUGAGCAGCAGAAGUUUUGUUACGGAAACGUUGAAUGUUGUUUUUAGAAACAAAAUAAAGUACAGGUUUUAAAGGAGAAUAACGAGAUGACAACAAUUCUAUUGCAGGCAAUAGGAUGUGUAAUAAAAAAACAAAAUUUACUCCUUUGUAACGGUUGCCUUUUACAUGGGGAUGAAGUAGAUGGAGCAUGUUUUUUGAAGAGGUGCAUAAAAAUGACGAUACCUCAUGUCUGUGACAAACAACUGUACACUCCUGUUACCUCGUCUGCAUGGGAAAAAUAAAAUUUGUUAUCAUCUGCAUGCUAAUCUCAAAAUAAACCACUUGGAUUUUAAAACUGA